GCCGGCCCGGGGCGGGCCCGGCCAGGGCGGGUCCGACGCCCGCGGGCAGCACCAGGGCGGCGGCCAGCCCCGCGAGCAGGACGCGGCGCCGGCGC
rnacentral:tRNA from 1 species